rnacentral:rRNA from 1 species
AGUGAACGCUGGCGGUAUGCCUAACACAUGCAAGUCGAACUGCAGCACAGUAAGAGCUUGCUCUUACUGGUUGCGAGUUGAGGACGGGUGAGGAAUACAUCGGAAUCUACUUUUUCGUGGGGGAUAACGUAGGGAAACUUACGCUAAUACCGCAUACGACCUACGGGUGAAAGCAGCGGAUCUUCGGACCUUUCGCGAUUGAAUGAUCCGAUGUCGGAUUAGCUAGUUGGCGGGGUAAAGGCGCACCAAGGCGAGGAUCCGUAGCUGGUCUGAGAGGAUGAUCAGCCACACUGGAACUGAGACACGCUACAGACUCCUACGGGAGGCAGCAGUGGGGAAUAUUGGACAAUGGGCGCAAGCCUGAUCAAGCCAUACCGCGUGGGUGAAGAAGGCAUUCGGGUUGUAAAGCCCUUUUGUUGGGAAAGAAAAGCAGCAGGUUAAUACCCCGCUGUUCUGACGGUACCCAAAGAAUAAGCACCGGCUAAAUUCGUG